CAGUAGCCACGGGAAUACGGAGGGUGCAAGCGUUAAUCGGAAUUACUGGGCGUAAAGCGCACGCAGGCGGUCUGACAAGUCAGAUGUGAAAUCCCCGGGCUUAACCUGGGAACUGCAUUUGAAACUGUCAGGCUGGAGUCUUGUAGAGGGGGGUGGAAUUCCAGGUGUAGCGGUGAAAUGCGUAGAGAUCUGGAGGAAUACCGGUGGCGAAGGCGGCCCCCUGGACAAAGACUGACGCUCAGGUGCGAAAGCGUGGGGAGCAAACAGGAUUAGAUACCCGGGUAGUCCCUGUCUCUUAUAU
rnacentral:rRNA from 1 species